ACAGGCAUAUAAUGAGGACUCUUAAGUGGCUCUGUUGGGAGGUCCUUACAAUGAAGAACUGAGGUCUCUUGCUGGUAACUGUCACCUACUUGGUAGCCAUGUGAAUCAGGCAUCCUGCAGGUGGGUCCUCCAGCCACAGCCAAGCCUUCAAAUGACUACAUCUCCACCUGAUAUUUGGACUGCAAGCCCUUGAGAAAGCUGAGCCAGAACUACAAGUCACCUUCUGAAUCCCUGAAUCAUAGAUUGGUCAUAGGUGGAAGAAACUUGCCUUGUUUCAGAUAAGACUUUGAACUGUGGACUUUUGGGUUAUUGCUGGAACCAGAAUAUCACAGGGAGAAGAAAGAAGCCAUAGAGGAUAAAGCUGAGGAGAAGGAAAAAAAGACAAGAAAGAGAAAGAGCAGAAGAAGCAAGAGGAAGCAGAGUAGGAGAGAGAGGAAGAUGGGGGAGGAGGAAGAGGAGAAAGCUGAGAAAGCAGA